CGGGUGAGUAACACGUAUCCAACCUGCCGUCUACUCUUGGACAGCCUUCUGAAAGGAAGAUUAAUACAAGAUGGCAUCAUGAGUUCACAUGUUCACAUGAUUAAAGGUAUUCCGGUAGACGAUGGGGAUGCGUUCCAUUAGAUAGUAGGCGGGGUAACGGCCCACCUAGUCUUCGAUGGAUAGGGGUUCUGAGAGGAAGGUCCCCCACAUUGGAACUGAGACACGGUCCAA
rnacentral:rRNA from 1 species